GUAUGAGUGGGAGUUACCCAGAAGGUGGGGGAAGAACUUUCUUGGAGACCAGCAAUUGCAAAGGUCCUGAGCCAGGAAAGUGAAGGAGGGACCACCCCAUGGCUGGAAAAUAAGGGAACAGAGGAGCGAGAGGCAAUGAGCUAAGACCCUCCAGGGAAGACCACAGAAAACAACAACCAAAAAGGUCUAACCAGGCCCCCUUCUGGGUGACCUCCACUAAACACUGUUCUCCACCUUCUCCUCGUAAUCCAAAUCCUCCACCCCACCGUGUCUGCCCACCACCUGUGAACAGGCCAGGUAUGGAGAAGCGUGACCUCAACUGCACACUCACCCACACGCCGUGACACGUCUCUGCGGGGUGACCAUGCAC
rnacentral:lncRNA from 1 species